CCUACGGGCGGCUGCAGUGAGGAAUAUUGCGCAAUGGGGGCAACCCUGACGCAGCAACGCCGCGUGGAUGAUGAAGGCCUUCGGGUUGUAAAAUCCUUUUCUGAGGGACGAUGGUGACGGUACCUCAAGAAUAAGUCCCGGCUAACUACGUGCCAGCAGCCGCGGUAAAACGUAGGGGGCAAGCGUUAUCCGGAUUUACUGGGCGUAAAGCGCACGUAGGCGGCAUUGUAAGUUGGGCGUGAAAGCUCUCGGCUUAACUGAGAGAGGUCGUUCAAUACUGCAGUGCUUGAGGUUGACAGAGGAGAGCGGAAUUCCCGGUGUAGUGGUGGAAUGCGUAGAUAUCGGGAGGAACACCAGUGGCGAAAGCGGCUCUCUGGGUCACACCUGACGUUGAGGUGCGAAAGCGUGGGGAGCGAACGGGCUUAGAUACCCUUGUAGUC
rnacentral:rRNA from 1 species